UAUAACUGAAGAUUCAGAAAAUUAUUGAUUUGAAAUUUUAACGCAAAAAGAGUUGUUUUCGAAAACUAGAGGUAGAAAUAUAAUCGCAAAUCUGGUGAGGCAAAAGUUAUAAGUUUAGUUGAAAGAAGAAAUAUACCAUAUUUUCUAAAUCCGGUCUUAAAGAAAAACCACCGGCAACGAUUCGCACGGAAGCCUUACUCAGUGUUUAUACUUUACGAGCACUGAUGAUACCACGCGGCUCAAAAAAAGAACCUUUUAGAUUAUUACAAUGACAACGAGGAGAUUCCUUAUCACUUUCUUAAAGCGCUUAUAGCUACUGUAACAAUAACAAAAGAUUGUAAGGCUUAAGAUUUAUUUUACAACUGACCGAGAAUCGUGGGCAGCUUUUAAAUUUUUCAAACUUCGGGAGACUUCGAUGCUUCGUAUAGCUAGCUAUAUAUAUAUAUAUAUGUAUAUAAUAAUUCAAUUUUCAGCUCGUGAAACGAAAUUAUAUAUUUCUUCUGCAUUUUCAUCAACCGAGUGGAACGAAAAGCCUCAGACAAAAUUAUCUCUUUCUCUCUCUUUAAAAGAGAAUGCAAAUUUUACUGUUACGGAGGAUUCGACAUGUUAACGAGACCUGAAUCCCGUAUACGUGAUUUGAGUGAAAGAUGAGAAGACACAACGGAAACCGAUCAAUUUUCGAGUCGAUUGAAGAAUAAUAAAUCUAUACAGCUUUCUAUCUUUCAUCGACAUAUAUAAUUAACAAGUAAACGCCCAUCAUAUAUGUAAUCCGGAAUCGACAUCGAGAAAAAUUUAUGGAAAGAAAGUGUUGCAUAAACACUUGAAAUAAUUUAUGGAAACAAUGAAAAAGGAUUUAUCGAAACUAAAAACAUCUUCUGUAAUUCUAAUUGAUGACUUCCUGGAAGCCAAAGACGGUCAAGAGAGGAACUCACGAUUUGGCGCACAACUAUCGAAGAAGGCGCAAACUUUGCCAACCGGAAAUGACGCAUCUUUUACAAUAUGAAUCGUCGAAAGAAAAAAAAAAAAUUCUGAAACGAAUUUUACAAAUAUUCUCAGUUUUUUUUUUUUUUUAUUAUUCAUAAACUGGAAUUUUCGUCAAGUGUUUGGUAUAAUGCACACAUUACACGGGUUGCGAGUGAACCGUAACGGAAAUAUUACACUGAAUUCACGGUGGAUGAUCUCCGUAACGUUAGACUGGUGUCGAUUACAUUCUGGUGGGUAUCAGCAACGAUUUUGUAAUUUUUUUCUUAUAUUACAAAUAUCGACUUUCGAAGGGAGGAAUAAAAAAAAAAAAGUUUCAACUUCUCUUUUUUUUCAUAAAUUCAGUUCAAUCGUUUAUUUAUCGUAUCCAUAUACAAUCGGUGGCAAUUAGCGACAUAUUCACUAUAUAUUUCUCUUUCUAUAUCAAUUGUUGAGUAUAUAAAGUUACGCUCACUUCACCAUGAAAAGCCAAUUAUUUUUUCACUGCUGUAAAUUAUUAUUUUACUGCAAAAGUUUUGUUCUUCUUUUGUUUAAUAAAAAAAAAAUAUAUAUUUACGUGCAGAAAAAAUAAAAUAAUAAAUUAGAUAAAAAAAUAAGUUUUUAAUUAGAAAAAGAGUAGAAAAAUAAAUAAUUUCAUCAUAUAAUUUAUAGUAAGCUUAUAAUAAUUAUUUGAUAAUAAUAGAUGUUGAAACUUCUUUUUAUAUUCCAAAGAAAUCGAAUUCGUUGCGUAAUAGUUUGCCGGAAGCCCUAAAAUUGCACUAUUCGUUGUGUGCCCAUAACACAGCUUUGUCAGCGAAACGUCUAUGGCGUAUAAUAAUAAAA